GUUCACGACGUACCUACGAUAGACAUUUAAACUGUGGGGUCACCAAAGGUUUCUUAACGCCUUUCAUUAUAAAAUAAUUCGAAAAAUUAAUCAGGAAUAACCUUUAUGUUUUGAUUUAUAUAAUUGGUACAAAUCAAAGCAUCGUGUUAUUUCUGAUUAAUUUUUCAAAUUACUUUAUUAAGGUGUUGAGAACCUUUGGUGACCCAAUAGUUUGGGUGUCUUUAAAAAGUACAUAGUGAGCAGUGGUCGUUACAUACAAACGUUCACCUAAAUUGUCCCAUCCAAUGGAUGAAUUU
rnacentral:lncRNA from 1 species